GGGCCGACGAGCAGAGGCAGCGUGGCCGUUCGCUGAUGUCGCCUUCCUCCCCUCAUUUUCCUGUACGCAUGGUCGUGGGGGAAAACCCUAGAUCGGGCCCGUGUGCUCCCCCACUCGUCUCCUCCCCGCGUCUUACCCUUCUCCACAGGCGGCGGCGCGACGGGAUUGAUGCCCUCCUCAUCCUCUUCUUUAUCCCACUUCCAGCGGCGGAGUCGGCAACGGCGGAGACGGCCGGGGGCACGCGGCGAACGGACGAGCCGGAGCGCGGCGGCGUUCGAGAGAGGAGCAGCUGGCCGCGGGGAGGUCGAGGGCGAUGGACGGCUGGAGAGCAGGCCGCGGCCGGCGAGCUCGCGGAGGGACGCACGGGUGCAGCCAUCGCCGGCGAGCUGCGGGGGCGAGCGCGCGCAUGCAGGUGCGGGCGGAUGGCGGCGCUCCCGGUCGGGGCGAAGGGCGCGUGAGAGACGCACUUCAAGAUGCGACGCCGGAGCGCGGCGGCGCUGGCCGGGGCCUUGCGUGCCGCGGUCGGGGCGCAGGGCACAGGUGGCCGGGGUGGAGUCACUCACGCCAGCUCGUCAGCUCCCGCCGGCCUCCUCAAGCCUCGUCAAGCCAUUGGCAAGGACCCCGUCGCCUGAUGCCCAUGGUGCGUACCCUCUCCUCUUUCUUUUUGCCAUGGAUCAUGUUCUAGCUCGUUGGAGAUGGAGCCCUCACUCCUGCACGUGAUUUAGUCUUCCUCUAUUCUCAGUUUAUCAUGCACAAAAACAUGAUUUAUAGAUCGGUACCCAGUAUGUUUUCUCCUGCACGAUUCUCUGACCAUAAUGAUGACUCAGCUAUGUAGCGAUGUAGCCAGCGUUUCUUUGUCCUAGGAAAUAUGAACAAUGUGGAGAAUGGAAUUGGAAAGGAGAUGCUAUUGGUGUUGUCCCUGUCUAAUAGAUGACACAAUGUACAGGAUGUUUGGGCGCUUGUGCUGCUGUGGCCCAAAGUUUUGCAAAUGGCUUCUACUGCUGACAAGAAUCAGCAGGGCGGCGGUGCUCCGCCUAGAGGAGUUGCAGGGGAGAGGAAGGAGGCCAGAGACAGGAGGGAAGAGCGGGCGGCCUCCCCUCUCUCUUUGUAAGCCAUCUGAGGACAUGAGAUCAAACUGGUUCUUUGGGAUGAUCGUGCAGCUGAGUUCAAAGUUGAGGGGGCUUGUGCUAUAGGAGAUACGGAACAGGCAGUGCGCCUUCUUUGUUGGACCAUUCCCUGAGAUGGUAAAAGGUAAACUUGUAGGCAUCUACUCUUAUAUGUGUUUCACUUCAGAGUUUGAUAUUUCAAUCCAUAUAACAGGUUGGUUUACUGUGAUUCUAAUACAGUUUGUGUUUUCAGGUAUUUUGAGUAAUGGAAAUUAUUAUACUUGGAUUGACUGUUUUAGAGUAAGCUAACCUUGACUGUUUUAAAGUAAAUGGCAUAUUUUGAAUGAUUUCUUUUAUUCGAGCAUUGUUCACCACUAUUCUUUAUGUCAUGACAUUUUUUAUUUAUGCUUCGGAGCUAAUGCAACUAUGUGACCAAUCAUGUAAUUAUAAAGGUUUGGCACUUCUUUAUUUUGGUUCGACUUCUUUUAAUCAUUUUGUUGUGUAUUCAAGUUUUUGCGGUUGUCACUAUACCAUAAUAAUGAUCCAUGUUAAUCACCAAUGAGAACUAUGUGUGCAUGAAGUUAUUUAUUUAAUCUAGGAGGCCAAUAUAAUUUUGUAUCAAAAAAUGUGUUUAUACCAGCUUGCUAACCUGCAAUUUCUGCUAUAAAGUAAUUUUUUGGUUCAGUUUAUAGAGAAAAUAAUUACAGUAUCAUCGUAAAAAGGUUGAGAAUAACUACAGUAUCAUCCUAAAAAGGUUAAGAAAAUAUAAAAUUAAAAUAAGUGAAGUUGGCAUUGUAAUGCUUUGAGUUUUCUAUUUCGAUAACUUAGUUUUUAAGUGCUCAAUGCUUGGCCAUGUCGUGCUACCUUGCAUGUGAUAGGAGUGGAUGCAGGACACAGGAAUCGUCAAUUAGGUAUAUUCAGUACCUCUAUUGCUGUUUGACCCUAGCCCAUAUAUGGAAUGCAACAAGGCAGGAAUUCGUAGUCAUUUGUCGACGUGUGCUUACCAUUAUUAGGGUCAUAUUCUGAUUAUGUACCAAACGAAUGUCUUGACAAAGUUCCAGGAAAUGCGGUUCAAUUACCUACUACUGCUACAUGUUUAUUGUCUCCUUCAGAAUUCAGACCUCUGCCCUUUUCGUUGACAUGCAUGUGAACUGAACUAGGCCUACAGGUCUGCAAAUCUGGUUGCCGACAGAUGUUAACUUUUCUAAGUAGUACAUACAAUUUAUCUCUAAAUUUACUUAGCUAUAGAAUUCUGUGUAAAUCACACCGGGGCGACCGAUGCAUGUGCAGCAACGGCGACAGGUUGGUCCCUAUAGGCACUUGAUCAACAUAAUUUGAAUUUUGUAACAACUAUGGGUGAUGUAAGUAAUACAGAUAGGGUUUUCCAAAUUAUCUCUAUUGUUUCAUCCUGUUGAUAGAUGCACGACUGAACAUUUCGUUUCCGUUUCAUAGUUAACAGUUGAAUAUGACUAGCCUUUAAGAAACAUGGGUUUGUACACUGUAGUUGGCAUGUGGUUCAAAUUUCUGCUGGAUUUCAGGUUCUGUUUUGUUCUUGGUAAGCUUUCAGCUUUCAUGUAUUUUAUUAUUAAAUUGGUUGCCAUCUUUGCUCUUAUGUUCUAUAACUGAAUGUACUUAGGCAGUUAGGCUCGAAACACAGAAUAUAAUAGUCAGAUCCAAAUGCAUUUGUUUCUUGUUACCGUUCCGAUGCCUCUGUUUUUACGGCUUGCAGACAUUAUAAUUCCAUUGGUUUACCCCAUUAGGAGUUCUUGAUUCAGCAAAAGUUCUGUUUGGUCCUUCUCUUGUAUUCAUGUGACCUGGUACGUUAUCCAUCAAACAGCAACAUUAAAGAUGUCCAGGAUUCAUCCGUGCCGAGAGCUCUCCUCCUGGUUUGGUCUGGAGAGGUAUUUUUUCAAAAUGGGAAUCUAGAGAGCUUGGUUCAACUGGAAUUGAUGAUCCAAGUGAACCACCCACUUCAUCUACCACAGCUUCAACAGAUAAGAGGUGAUAAGAUUGGGCGAGAUAGAAGAGAUCAUGAGAAACAUGAUGAAUAUUACUGCACCACUCUUCACCUUCAACUGCGACCUCGCUGAACUCAGGUUUAAAUGCAAAGCUUGCAGCCAAGCACAUUAUCCACAAGCUUGCAUUACCACCAUGUUCUAGAUCUCUUUUGGAGGCGACGAAGUAGUAUGCUCUUGAUGAGUUGCUUCCUGGGCAGGUUUCGUUCUGUGCUAGACUAUAUUGCCAGAAACUUCAUAUGUAAAGGAAGAAUACGAUGAGCCCAAUUCACUGCUUGAGGAUGCUCAGAGCCGUCAAGAAAGCAAGCGUGCCGGCGGCGGCUCUAGCGCUGAUGGGCGACAAUGAGCGAAGCACGUAGUGCAACAGCCUGGGCAUGAUGCGGGGGAGGUGUUCAGACCAUAGGCGUGUCUUGGGAAGUGGUGUUGCAUCCAGCGAAGGUGAGCAUGGUGGAUUUCAAGGCACUAAUAUGUUGGCCGAUGCUUGCCUGCUGAGCACGUUCAUGAGGUCUUAUACAUAAUGGGCCAUGAUGACAAGGAAGAAAGAGGUUACCUCAGACCAUCUGCCUAGGGACACGGAGGUUGAAGGCGGAUAUCUGAAGAUGGACGGGACACCUCUCUUUCCCACAUGAGGCCAAACCGAGGGUUGUGGUGGCCACGUUUAUGGAAGUUCUCAAGAUGGUGCUCUAUUGCAGCCUCAGAUAGGGACCAUUGCUUGUUCUCAAGAUGGUGCUCUAUUGCAGCCUCAGAUAGGGACCAUUGCAGUUCUCAAUAUGGAAGUUCUCAAGAUGAUGCUUUUAAUCUCUUCCAUGUUCUGAUAUUCACAUCUCCUGUGCUGGUUCCUCUCCCAAGUAGAUCCAUGGUGAUUGGUUCAAGGCAUGCCACUCUUGCCGUACCAUUUUUGGUGUGCUCUAUUUCAGUGUUUUUUUCGCUCUCCUUGCCUUUAGGUAAGUAGUGGUUUGCUAGCUGUAGAUGAGGGGGUAUGGAAGCUCGACCAAAAGCUCGAUUGAAGGUAUAGUUUGACUGUUUCUUCUUUCAAUUUUUCUGCAGUUCCAUUUAGUUACACAUGUUAGAUUUAGACCUGAUUAUAUGACUGCUAUAUGACUGUCAUAUGCUCUUUCUUAUUAAAUAUUAUUCUGGUUUUGCUUGUUAUGGAGAAAUGAAUAUUAUGUGAUCAAGUGCUUUCUUUGCAUCAUUGUUUAUUGCAUGAAACGGGCAACAAAAAAACGAUAUGGUGUGUUCUAGGCUAACUUCACUUCUGGUCGUUAUUCAAGUGGAAAUGCUAAAGAAGCUUCAGCAGGCCUUCCAUUUGAUGCUGGUGUCAAGGUAACUGAUGCCCCAUAUGUUGUUUUGUGUAAAACACAUGACACGCCAUCUUUCUGAUUUCUGGAAUUUCCGAGCAGUGAAUUGCCUUUAAUAGUUUGAUGAUGCCAGCAUAGCAAAGAAGUUUGUACUAACAGCUGAGUUAUCAGCCUUUGCUAUAAUAUUCAACUUGUGAAAUAAUAAUAAAUCAUGUCAAAAACUCCUCAGGGCCAAGCCAACUGCAUCAUCACAUAAAUUAUGUCUCAACUGUUAUUUUUAUAUGCUUGCGUGGGUAAGGUUCUAAGGGAAAGGAUAGCAUGCUCGCUCUUGACCGACUUGCUGUAGACUCUUCCUCCUGGUGUAGAUGUAAGGUUCCGGGUUAUUACUGGAGAGUAUAGAUCUGAUAAAUGCAUUAUCUUUAAUUGUAUUUUUUAUUGAUUUGAUGAGAUGCAUCCAAUUGGAAUGUUGGGCAACUAAAAGAUUACCUCGGAAUUUCAGGAAGGCAAGCAUAUGACUAGCACAAAAUGUAGAUGUUUCCUUUUCUGUGAAAAGAUUACUUCUGUAUUGCAGGAAAGAACUAUCUGGUGCUCUGUUUUUGCCUCAGAGACUGGUAAGCAUAGUCAUGCUAAGUGAACUUUGUUGCCAUCGAUAUAUUCAUCUGAGCGUCGCGAAUCAGAAAUGGAGGAGGUCAUGGAAGAGAGGAGGCGUGGCGAUGUUGUGGCGAACGGUGCCAGUCAGCGAUGUAGCGGCGUCCACAUGCGACGACCAGGUCAGGCAUGUCAAUCCCCUCCCUUCUCCUCUCUCUCUCUCUCUCUCUCUCUCUCUCUCUCUCUCUCUCUCUCUCUCUCUCUCUCUCUCUCUCGUUGUGCACUGCCGUAGCUAAAAUGGUUCAUUUAGAGAAGGGACGAGAAGGGAAUUUGACCAAGUUUUUAUUUGCCUUAAGUUUUUACAUUCUGUGAUUCUGAAGCAAAUGUUACACAUGUUCCUGCUCUUUCAUGGCCCAUGUUGUUAAGAAACAUAUUGUAUUGUUUCCUUUUUAUGAAAGCAAUGUUGUUUUCUGACUAUGAGGUUCUCCAUGCAUAUGGAUUGAUCAUAUUUUCAGUGUUCUGAAGUUUUCAUAUGAGGGUAGGCAGGUACAGAUUAAUGUUAAGGCAUGAAAAUUAGGGAAAUGCUAAUUGGUGUAUUAGAAGUUUGCUCUUUGGAUUUCGAGCAUAUCUACAUGCUGCCAUUGAUUUUUUGUACUGGCAAUGUAUUUGGCUCAUAUAUGAUCAUAGAAUUCUUGCAAUGUACUGGCAUAUAUUAAGUUCGUGUAACUGUUAUUACAUUUUGUAUAUAAUAAUAAUAAUUAGCAAGUUACACACAUGUUUAGGGUACUAGCAUUCAGAGUCAGAGUUAAUCUUGCGCUGUCAGUAUGGGUUACAGGAGUAUUCUGUAUUAGCACAUUUGUAAAUGGGAAAAUUUGUUGCUUUAAAGCAUUUCUAAUAUUUUUGCAUUACUUCGCACCAUUGAUUCAUUGAUCAUGUCCUUAUUCACAUAGUUUUUUAGCAUAUGAAAAUUCACACUCCAAUGUAAUAUUAGUAAGUAGGUGAUUUGGUUGUCAUUAUGGACAUAAAUACUACUAUUGCUUCUGCAGUUCAUAUUUUUUUUAGCAAAAUGUAUAUGUUAACUUCUUUUGUCAAGCUCUUAAACCAGUUUUAGUGGUCAAACUAUUAAGUGGGUUUUUUGUGAGUACAAGCAUGGGUGGAUCUAGCUCCCAGUGACACCGAGCGGCUGCCCAGGCUGCUCUGGCAAGUUUUUCUUAAAUAGUAGUGUACCUUUUUCAGAUAUAAGCCCUUCACUUCCCUGCGAUGUAGUUUGAAGUGGCAAGGAACUUGUGAUUCAUGGAAGAUAGGAAAGUAUGGUAUAUUAAAUAGCUGUCGUAUGCAAUAUGGGGUAGACAUAAUUCAGGCAAAUCCCUCUUUGAGUUGUUUCUCCUUAUAUAGCAUGAUACAACAAUCGUUACCUUUUAUUCGCUUUCAAUAUGAGGUAUAAUCAUGUUAUCUACGAUAUUGGUUGCCGUUUUGAGUACAAGAAAAUAAAGAUCCCAGGCUGAAAACAUCUUUAUUUGUAGCUGAACUGGAUGAACACUUCUGAUGUUGU